UUCUUAAACUUCAUGACAAAAGACUGCUUAUGUUAACGAGCUUUUAGAAAUGAAGGUUAGAUCUAUAACCUUUUUUCCAAUACAUAUGUUUUUGUCAUUGCAGGACUCCCUUAUUCAAGAAUAUCUUAAGGUUCUAAAUACAGCUAACGAGGAGGGUUUGAAAAGACUAAAGGGAAUUGGAGAGAAGAGGGCUACCUAUAUUCUUGAACUUCGUGACAAAAAACCCGAACCAUUUAAGAGUCUUGAUGAUCUGAAAGAGAUUGGACUUUCAGAAAAGCAGAUACAGGGAUUAAUGACAAAGGUUGCUGUAGAGCUUUUCAGAUAGAUAAUAUGUAAUUUAAUUUCUGAUAUGUAAAUAUUUUUUUGUCUGCCUACCGUUAGGACACUAGGACCAACCUGAGUAUAUUUUUCCAACUCAUAUGUUUUUGUCAUUGCAGGACUCCCUUAUUCAAGAAUAUCUUAAGGUUUUAAAUACAGCUAACAAGUAAGUUUUUAUGUUUUAUGCAGAGUAUUCACUAGUAUUCAAAUUAGUGACUGCUUAUGUUAACGAGCUUAGCCCCCUGAAGUGACACUUCAUUGACACUUGCCCCUAAUUAACGUAACCAACGGGAACAAUAGAUUCAAUUAUUUUCUGACUAACAGAUUUAAGCAUUUGUUUGUAAUAAACCUUUACAGUUUCAUAUAUUAGUCUGUUGAUAUGAGAUGUAUAUAAAGCCUACUUUGUUUGCCACUUAACGUAAGAUAUUGCUGACCUCUAUAUUUUUGUUUGAUUUUUCCUUUUUCUUUCAAUUCUCUUAUCAAUAGGGAGGGUUUGAAAAGACUAAAGGGAAUUGGAGAGAAGAGGGCUACCUAUAUUCUUGAACUUCGCGACACAUAUAACAUUAUUGAGCACUAAGUUGGUCUUGGGACACAUAUAAUCCAUCAACAGAAGUUCUAGUAACAUACACAGUAUCCAUGCAUAGAAACCUUGUUUUCAUGCCAGUGUUCUAUACACUCAAGUUGGUCCCAGUGUCCUAACCGUAGGCAGACUACAAAAUAUUUACAUAUCAGAAAUUAAACUACAUAUUAUCUAUCUAAAAAGCUCUACAACAACC